CAAAACCAUAUCUGACAGGCUGAGGCUUUUAUGCAGUAGGGCAAGAGAGUGUGUCUAUGCAUGUGUGUGUGUGUGUCUGUCUGUCUGUCUGUCUGCGAGACUGUGUCUGUGUGUUAAGCUUGAGUCUAUUGAGCCCAUUGGAUGGGACUGGGGUUUACAAAGACCAUGGGCACAUAGGAGCUUCCUCAGUAUCACAGGCUUUCACUUUUCUAGUGUUUCGGAUGGUGUCUGGGCAUUCUGAUGCUGCUGCAGGGCUUGGUGAAGAUGCUGGACUAGUCUGAGAACUCACAGUUGAAGACAUGUUCAUUAGACUGGGACGCCUGACCCCUGGAUACUUCCGUCUCCUCCAGAGACAGGUCUCAGGUGAAGUCCAGAUACAGCCGCAGAAAGGAUUCAUCAACCAGAUCGCCAUGACGAUGGCCAUGGUGGGCAUCAGUGUGUCCUUCUACAGCGCCCGGCGGAUGGCGGAGAAGGUCCAUCUAAAAGAGAAUGCUCCCUGAACAGUUGGACAGUGUGGCCCCUCAACUGGACCAGAGAGAUGGGGGAGAGAGAUGAAGAGAACCAGAGUAGGCUGCAGUGCUGCACUCCAUCACCUUGCAUUGCAGCGGUUGGCACCCACUCAAAGCUGCCAUGCCAAGAUGGUUCUGUGGGCUGAGUGUUUGAUGUUGUUGUUCGAGAGAAUGUCUGUGUUUGAUGGAAGAGGAUGGGUAUCAGGAGCGUUUUGUCUUGAGAGUGAGACCAUGCAGUCUUUAUUAAACAACUGCUGGGUUUGAAAUACGUUUAUCUUUGUAUUGUGAUGACGGGAAAAUGGAAGUGUACUGUGGGGAAAUGGAAAUGUGAAUUACCAGUACUAAUGCCCAAUAGAUUAAAAUGACCUAACAACAUUUUUACCUAAAUACAUUUUUGGAUGAUAUGAGGCGAUCUACACAUAUCUGCUUUAUUUGAAAGAUUUCACCAUGUAGGCCUAGCAUACUUACUUAGGCUCCAUACUAGAAUGUCUUUUGAACAUAGCAUGAAUGCACAUCACAAAUGUGGGACCCCAGUAAGCGUUUGGUAUUUGCUUCAGCGCUUUAUCAGUUGAACAUGGAUGCCAUGAUAAUACUGUAGCUCUGUGGUUCUGACAGAAUCGGUGGUCUCCUCAAUGUAUGCCACUUCCAAACUGACUCUUCAUGACAUUUAUAUGUAUAUUUUAUUAACAAGUAUUUUUAAUGGUUUACAUUUUUAAAUACCUAAUAAAACUCACUAUUAACUCAAAGAAGGUUCAACGAUUAUUUGGCUGUAAAGUACAUAUACAAAAAAUAAUUUAAUGUAAUAUAAUCAUCAUAGUCACUGAUUUCUUUCUGGGCUUUUUUCUGUUGAUAAAUGUGUGUAUAUGUCAGUGGUAUGUGACCUAUCAAGACUUGAGUAUUUGUCAUUCAACUCUUUGAAACAGUUAUGCAACGCCAAAGUGUUGUUGUGAAAAUCUUUCCAAUUCUAUGGGGUUAUCCAUGUGGAAGGUACAGUACAUUAGGUUAGGGAGUGAUAUGGUCACACAGCUGCACUGACUGUAUUGAGUGAUUCAUGUGAAAAUAAGAUAAAGGAGGAAAAUGUGGUUAUGACACUACAUGAAUGAGAUAUCCCAUUCAGGGUUGGAAAAUUCCAGAAACGUUCAAUACAUUCCCUGGUUUUCCCAAAAUCCUGGUUAGGAGGUUUCGGAAUUUCCUGCUUAUUCCCUUCUGAUUUUAUAGCCCUCCAACCGCGAUUUCAGGAAAACAAGGGAAUUCAUUGAACGUUCCCAGAAUUUUGCAACCCUAAUCCCAUUACAGUGAUGGGGUUUGCUGCACAUCCUACAAUGUGCCCCAAUACAAGGUUACAGGUUCCUCAUGAUCUUUAUUGCAAAAAAUCUGUGUAAAUCUGUGUCUAUUGUCCCGUGAUUCUCCGGCAUCAAAUCAAAUCAAAUGUUAUUGGUCACAUACACAUAUUUAGCAUAUGUUAU